rnacentral:rRNA from 1 species
CCCUUAGAUGUUCUGGGCCGCACGCGCGCUACACUGAUGCGUUCAUCGAGUUUACAACCUUGAUUGAUAGGUCUGGGUAAUCUUUUAAACGCGCAUCGUGCUAGGGAUAGAUUAUUGCAAUUAUUAAUCUUGAACGAGGAAUUCCUAGUAAACGCAAGUCAUCAGCUUGCAUUGAUUACGUCCCUGCCCUUUGUACACACCGCCCGUCGCACCUACUGAUUGGAUGACUCGGUGAAAAAUUGGGACUGUGAAAGAAUCUGCUUUAUUGCGGUUUCUUUUAUGGGAACUUUUUUAAACCUCGUUAUCUAGAAGAAGGUGAAGUCGUAACA